CCUACGGGGGGCAGCAGUGGGGAAUAUUGGACAAUGGGGGCAACCCUGAUCCAGCCAUGCCGCGUGUGUGAAGAAGGCCCUCGGGUUGUAAAGCACUUUCAGUGAGGAAGAACGCCUGGUGGUUAAUACCCAUCAGGAAAGACAUCACUCACAGAAGAAGCACCGGCUAACUCCGUGCCAGCAGCCGCGGUAAUACGGAGGGUGCGAGCGUUAAUCGGAAUUACUGGGCGUAAAGCGCGCGUAGGUGGCUUGAUAAGCCGGUUGUGAAAGCCCCGGGCUCAACCUGGGAACGGCAUCCGGAACUGUCAAGCUAGAGUGCAGAAGAGGAAGGUAGAAUUCCCGGUGUAGCGGUGAAAUGCGUAGAGAUCGGGAGGAAUACCAGUGGCGAAGGCGGCCUUCUGGACUGACACUGACACUGAGGUGCGAAAGCGUGGGUAGCAAACAGGAUUAGAUACCCCAGUAGUC
rnacentral:rRNA from 1 species